UACGAAGGGGGCUAGCGUUGCUCGGAAUCACUGGGCGUAAAGGGUGCGUAGGCGGGUCUUUUAAGUCAGGGGUGAAAUCCUGGAGCUCAACUCCAGAACUGCCUUUGAUACUGAAGAUCUUGAGUUCGGGAGAGGUGAGUGGAACUGCGAGUGUAGAGGUGAAAUUCGUAGAUAUUCGCAAGAACACCAGUGGCGAAGGCGGCAUCCUGGACCGACACUGACGCUGAGGAGCGAAAGCCAGGGGAGCAAAGCGGG
rnacentral:rRNA from 1 species